rnacentral:hammerhead_ribozyme from 1 species
GUACUGCUGAAGAGUCUUAGACUAGGACGAAACAGCUGUCAGUAC